rnacentral:rRNA from 1 species
AAAAUUGCCCUGGUGUGGGGGAUAACCAUUGGAAACGAUGGCUAAUACCGCAUAAUGCCUACGGGCCAAAGAGGGGGACCUUCGGGCCUCUCGCGGCAGGAUAUGCCUAGGUGGGAUUAGCUAGCUGGCGAGGUAAGGGCUCACCAAGGCGACGAUCCCUAACUGGUCUGAGAGGAUGAUCAUUCACACUGGAACUGAGACACGGUCCAGACUCCUACGGGAGGCAGCAGUGGGGAAUAUUGCACAAUGGGCGCAAGCCUGAUGCAGCCAUGCCGCGUGUGUGAAGAAGGCCUUCGGGUUGUAAAGCACUUUCAGUCGGGAGGAAGGGAGUGUACUUAAUAGCUGCAUUAUUUGACGUUAGCGACAGAAGAAACACCGGCUAACUCCGUGCCAGCAGCCGCGGUAAUACGGAGGGCGCCAAAUUUU